rnacentral:rRNA from 1 species
UAACCUGAGAACCCGAAAGGUCGAAGGGAGAAAUUCAUUCGCGUCUCGGCGACGACAUCGGAUGUUAUUGCGACGGCGAUUCGUUUACGUAUCGUCCGCGCUUUUCGUCCGACGAGUCGAUGACGAACGCGUGCACUUUUCUCCUGGUAGGACGUCGCGAUCCGUUGGGUGUCGAUCUACGAUUCGUGGUGGAGCCCGUUGGCGGCGUUUCGGCGCUCGUCGACGGACCCUCGAUAUCCGAUCGACUCUCUCGACGGUAUACGAACGGUUGGGGGCCGCUUCAUAGCGUCCGACCGAUGGCAAGCGCUCCGCGGUUCGUCGGCGAUCGGACUUUGUGCCGAUUCCGACACCCGGUGACUGUUGGCCGUCGUGUUCUCGGACAGACCUCCUUUUAAAAUAAAACCGAUCUGCGACGCUAUAGCUUUGGGUAAUUUCAGGACCCGUCUUGAAACACGCCAAGGAGUCUAGCAUGUACGCGAGUCAUUUGGAAUCGAUAAACCAAAAGGCGAAAUGAAAGUAAAAGAUCUUCCUCGCGGAGAUCGAGGGAAGAGGGGCGGUAAUCGUCUCAAAAACGAUCCGUCUCGCAUUCCCGGGGCGUCUCGUUCUCAUCGCGAGAUGAGGCGCACCAAGAGCGUACACGCUGGGACCCGAAAGAUGGUGAACUAUGCCUGGUCAGGAUGAAGUCAGGGGAAACCCUGAUGGAGGUCCGUAGCGAUUCUGACGUGCAAAUCGAUCGUCGGAACUGGGUAUAG